GUCUGUACAGUGGUUGAAACUGAGACACACACCGAUUGUAAAGGAGAGAAAACAAAAAUUAUUUGGAGACACUCAGCACAUCUGGGUAAUUCUACAUUGGACAUGUGGGAGUAUUUCAAAUGGCAGUUGAUAAGAGUUCAGGAGCGGCACAUUCCUGCAAGAAUGAAGGAUAAGUAUGAUUUGACUGUACUAUUUAUGGGAGCUGACACUAAAAACCCACAGACUACGGGAGCUAAUACUGAGACACAUAGACCAUAC